rnacentral:rRNA from 1 species
AUUGAACGCUGGCGGCAGGCCUAACACAUGCAAGUCGAGCGGAUGAAGGGAGCUUGCUCCUGGAUUCAGCGGCGGACGGGUGAGUAAUGCCUAGGAAUCUGCCUGGUAGUGGGGGAUAACGUCCGGAAACGGGCGCUAAUACCGCAUACGUCCUGAUGGAGAAAGUGGGGGAUCUUCGGACCUCACGCUAUCAGAUGAGCCUAGGUCGGAUUAGCUAGUUGGUGGGGUAAAGGCCUACCAAGGCGACGAUCCGUAACUGGUCUGAGAGGAUGAUCAGUCACACUGGAACUGAGAAACAGUCCAGACUCCUACGGGAGGCCGCAGUGGGGAAUAUUGGACGAUGGGCGAAAGCCUGAUACAGCCAUGCCGCGUGUGUGAAGAAGGUCUUCGGAUUGUAAAGCACUUUAAGUUGGGAGGAAGGGCAGUAAGUUAAUACCUUGCUGUUUUGACGUUACCAACAGAAUAAGCACCGGCUAACUUCGUG